rnacentral:miRNA from 1 species
GACCUCUUCAACCGGAAGUAAUUCCUUUGGGUUGUCAAGGUUGUAUUGCCUCUAUGCUGGAGGGGCUUCCUUCCAGUUGCAGAGGUCAUACAUGCAACCAGAAGGAAUCCCCUCUGGGUGCAGAGGUAGUACAGCCUCAACAACCAGAGGGAAUCAAUUCCGGUUGCAUAGGUU